AGAGUUUGAUCCUGGCUCAGAACGAACGCUGGCGGCAGGCCUAACACAUGCAAGAUCGAACGCCGUAGCAAUACGGAGUGGCAGACGGGUGAGUAACGCUGUGGGAACAUACCACUCGGUUCGGAAUAACUCAGGGAAACUUGAGCUAAUACUGGAUACGUCCGAGGUUUUAAUCGACCUCGGAGAAAGAUUUAUCGCCGGAGGAUUGGCCCGCGUCUGAUUAGCUUGUUGGUGAGGUAAUGGCUUACCAAGGCGACGAUCAGUAGCUGGUCUGAGAGGAUGAUCAGCCACAUUGGGACUGAGACACGGCCCAAACUCCUACGGGAGGCAGCAGUGGGGAAUAUUGGACAAUGGGCGAAAGCCUGAUCCAGCCAUGCCGCGUGAGUGAUGAAGGCCUUAGGGUUGUAAAGCUCUUUUACCCGGGAAGAUAAUGACGGUACCGGGAGAAUAAGCCCCGGCUAACUUCGUGCCAGCAGCCGCGGUAAUACGAAGGGGGCUAGCGUUGUUCGGAAUUACUGGGCGUAAAGCGCACGUAGGCGGAUCCUUAAGUCAGGGGUGAAAUCCCGAGGCUCAACCUCGGAACUGCCUUUGAUACUGGGGAUAUCGAGUUCGGGAGAGGUGAGUGGAACUGCGAGUGUAGAGGUGAAAUUCGUAGAUAUUCGCAAGAACACCAGUGGCGAAGGCGGCUCACUGGCCCGGUACUGACGCUGAGGUGCGAAAGCGUGGGGAGCAAACAGGAUUAGAUACCCUGGUAGUCCACGCCGUAAACGAUGGAUGCUAGCCGUUAGACAGCUUGCUGUUUAGUGGCGCAGUUAACGCGUUAAGCAUCCCGCCUGGGGAGUACGGUCGCAAGAUUAAAACUCAAAGGAAUUGACGGGGGCCCGCACAAGCGGUGGAACAUGUGGUUCAAUUCGACGCAACGCGAAGAACCUUACCUGGGCUUGAACCGCGCAGGACCAUCCCGAGAAAUCGGGACUUCCCGCAAGGGACUUGCGUAGAGGUGCUGCAUGGCUGUCGUCAGCUCGUGCCGUGAGGUGUUGGGUUAAGUCCCGCAACGAGCGCAACCCUUACUCGUAGUUGCCACCCGCAAGGGGGAACUCUACGAGGACUGCUCCGGAUAACGGAGAGGAAGGUGGGGAUGAGGCCAAGUCAGCAUGGCCUUUAUGUCCAGGGCCACACACGUGUUACAAUGCGCGCUACAAAGCGUCGCGAACCCGCGAGGGGGAGCUAAUCGCAAUAAAGCGCGCUCAGUUCGGAUUGUAGUCUGCAAUUCGACUACAUGAAGCCGGAAUCGCUAGUAAUGGCGCAUCAGAACGGCGCCGUGAAUACGUUCCCGGGCCUUGCACACACCGCCCGUC
rnacentral:rRNA from 1 species